AGAUGAUUCAUUACUUAUCAGACUGCAAGCUGCAGUGUUUGCUUAGUGAAUUGUAGUGACAAUUCACACAGACCCUCUUCAAUAUGCUGAAUAUCACAAUACACUCAACAAACAGAUCAUGACUUUUCUUGUAUGAGCUGUAUGAUGAGUUGACUUUGAUGCCACAGCUGUGAGUAAGUGCUGAUUCUAUGUUUGUUGCUUUUUUUAGCUGAAGUUUGAAGUUCUUCUUACAUAGCACUAUAUCUCUCUUGAAUCUCAUCUCUCACAGCUGUACAACAACUCUGCUGCCAUCUCUGAUGAUUUGUUCAAUUAGCAGCUGUAGUCUAUAUUCUGAUGUCCAUGCAUUGACAGACUGCUGAUGUGGCUGCUGAGAGAUGAGUGCAGACAGACUGAUGAGCUGCUGAAGCUGCUGAAGACUAGAUACAGAUGAAUUGACA
rnacentral:sRNA from 1 species